UUUGUUGAGAUUGGUGUGGAAUAACUUGACUGGCCUGCACAGCGCCCUGACCUCAACCCCAUCGAACACUUUUGGGAUGAAUUGGAAGGAAUGGUCUGUUCCAUAUCUUCAAUCAAAUUAAACAUGUACAACUGUGACAUUACAAUGUUUAAUGGUAUUUUUCAUCAGUUGUUUUAUAUGAAAUGUAAUUUCCACCACACUGUCAUUGCCACAAUGCUAAUUCAUCACCAUCACAGAUAUUAUUUUAGAGCAAAGGUGUAUUAAAAUACAAUUGAUAUUGACUGUUUUUCCCAUAUGUGGACCGUGUAUGCGUGUUCUUAAGAUAACUCCUAAUAUAAUGUAAAAUAUUACGAUUUUAAUGUGGUAAAUUCAGAUUUCUAAGUAUCAUUAAGGCACAUAUGGACAUUUGACAUGACAAUGAUGAAUACAUUUAAUUAAGAAAACUUCCAAAUAGUAAAGAAAUACAUGAAAAAAAUUAAUUUGUGUGAAAUGUUAUACAAAAUACCUUAGGCACAAUUUCUGUAAAUUCCUUUUCAGAUAAAAUAGAAAAUGUUAUGACGUGGUGGUUAUGACAUUUCCCCUCUGGUAUUUGGGGAAACUGAUUAAAAGCUUUAUAUUCUUAAAUAGUAUGGUCUUAGCCACUAGUAGAUCUUGUUUCCAGACAGAGUGACGAACAUUUUCAGAAAGAUAAAAAUCAGUUUCAAUAGGUUUCAUUUUCAAAAACAUUUAACAUCCAAACGUGCCCGUAUUCGUCAAAUCAACCGGCUAUGAAACGAAACAGCAGAAAUACUUUUGAAAAGAGCUACUGCAAAAAUGUUUCCUCCGAAUUGCUCUCCGAGGACGGUGUUUUUGACCGUGACAACCUGCUGACUAUCUGCUGCUUCAGUGGACCGAAGAGACUGGAAAGAGAACACUAUUUCUUUACCAUGCAAAGUACUAUGAAGGCACUGAUCUCGACAAGAGGCGCAUCAUUCGUAGGGGAGGCAGAGAAAUUCACAAUUCAGUGCAAUCACAUGUACCUACCGGGGAAGGAUGGCCAGCCACACAGGAGAGUGAUUUUCACCAAGGAGGAAAUGGAGACCGUGCUGACAGAUGCAUGCUGGACAUUUCGGAGUGAAUCGCAUGAUUGCCAAAAUCAACGGUCAACCACUGAAAUCCCUGACGCCUUACACUUCGGUGAAGCCCGUGAGACAAAGUAUGUUAAGCCUUGGUUGACAUUUGAGAAAGCAAUAAAUGGUGGUUAUGCUGAGCUCAUUAAAAAAGACAAGCCAGUGUAUGAAUCAAACGGAUUUGCAUAUGAAUGGAGUGGAAAUGAACUGAUUUUGUGAUCUGCUAGGUAAGCAACUUUAAUGUGUCAAGCAGAUUACACGUUUUCAUUACCAUUUCCAAAACGUAACAACGUGUUUAAGACAUGGAUUUCAUGUUGUAAUGUUAACAAGGUACCAAAAUGUCAUUAGAAUUAAUGUUUUCAUUUUAUUAGCUAAACAAAACUUGUUUAAACAGUGAAUAAAUCAGCCUUGUUUGCAUAGCGAUGAUGAAAAGAACGUCAUUUAGGCUGUAAUGAUCUCCAAAAUUUGAAUCAUUAGGUAAUCACACCUUUGAUAUAGCAACGGACGCUAAUAGUUUGUCAAAUCCCAUCGUGACGUAGAGGGGGACCCUAUUUGGCUGGGGGACAUUAUUUGGCAUGACAGGCCCAACAAAUUAACCACCAGCCAAUGUGACUGGUGAAAUACACAUUCUUGCAUUACUCUACCCACAUUUGUCAGGUGGCUGGUGUUCAUUUUAUGCCCUACAUAGGACACUGAGAAGAUAGUUUCAAGCUAUAUAUACACUGAACAAAAACAUUAACGCAACAUGCAGCAAUU